rnacentral:rRNA from 1 species
UCCAGACUCCUACGGGAGGCAGCAGUGGGGGAUAUUGCACAAUGGGGGAAACCCUGAUGCAGCGACGCCGCGUGGGCGAAGAAGUAUUUCGGUAUGUAAAGCCCGAUCAGCAGGGAAGAAGAAAUGACGGUACCUGAGUAAGAAGCACCGGCUAAAUACGUGCCAGCAGCCGCGGUAAUACGUAUGGUGCAAGCGUUAUCCGGAUUUACUGAGUGUAAAGGGAGCGCAGGCGGCACGGCAAGCCUGAUGUGAAAGCCCGCGGCCCAACCGCGGGACUGCAUGGGGAACUACCGGGGUGGAGUGCCGGAGAGGUAGGCGGAAGUCCUAGUGGAGCGGUGAAAUGCGUAGAUAUCAGGAGGAGCACCGGUGGCGAAGGCGGCCUGCUGGACUGCAACUGACGUUGAGGCCCGAAAGCGUGGGGAGCAAACAGGAUUAGAUACCCCGGUAGA